ACCGGGCGCGGUGGCCCGUGCCUGUAGUCCCAGCUACUCAGGAGGCUGAGGUGGGAGAAUUGCUUGAACCCAGGAGUUCUGGGCUGUAGUGCACUAUGCCGAUUGGGUGUCCGCACUAAGUUCGGCAUCAAUAUGGUGACCUCCCGGGAGCGGGGGACCACCAGGUUGCCUAAGGAGGGGUGAACCAGCCCAGGUCAGAAAUGGAGCAGGUCAAAACUCCCGUGCUGAUCAGUAGUGGGAUCGCGGCUGUGAACAGCCACUGCACUCCAGCCUGGGCAACAUAGCUAGACCCCCAUCUCU
rnacentral:SRP_RNA from 1 species